AUUCUUGCUGACAAUCCGUCAGCCCAUCUCACAUACACUAAAGGCCCAUCUUAUCUAUAUGUACGGACUGAUUUGGGUUCCCGCAUCCUGACAUAUCCUUUACCGGUUUACCCACACAAACCAUACAAUACAAUACAAAAUCUCGUCUCUUAAGUCUUACCUAUGGCCGUUGUCAUCGGCGGUACAUAAUCACCGGAAAGUUCCAAAUCUCCGGUUGAAGAUCUUAAGGUCACUCCUGAGGUAUGUGUACAUAUUACGGGGUUCUUCUCCUGAUUUGAGACGAUAGGAUUAGGGAAUUAAGGCUGAUCAUCAGUAUGUUUAUAAAACUGAGUUUCAUUUACUUCAUUGUAUGUUGUUGCCGAGAAGAAUGAUGUUCAGAAAAGAAAAUUAAAGCUUAAAUUUCGGAUGUCUAACCCAUUCAAAGAAGUUAAAUUCAAUUGCUUGUGCAUAUAAUGAAGAAUUCAUAUAAUUGCUACCUCCUUAGUAUAAUGCAAUUCGAUAAGAGUUUUCAAAUUUACUAAGAUUUGCAUAAAUGUUUUUUCUGGUAUAAUUUUAUGAGAAACUGUGACUUUUUGUUUAUACCUUUUCUGAUACUGUUUCAUAACCUUUCUAAAAAGUACUCAUAAAUUAAAUUAAAAGUAACUUGUGAUGUUUUUUCUUAGAAGUGAAAGCAACAAUUUUCUUAGAAGUGAAAGCAACAAUAUAAAAGCAUGUUUCACAAAUAAACUUUUUUUCGCAACCUUGAAUGCAAUUGAAAAAUGUAAAUUAUAAUGUGAUAUUGUUAUGAAAGAAAUGAAUUGAAGAUUGGCUUUGACAUAUCUAUCUGAAGCAGAUCACAUUGUAGUCACUAGGCUUAUUAUAGAUAAGGUCACAUUUAUUGAAGUUAUAGUGUUGUACCAAUGUUGUCAUAAUAGAUAUCUGAAGCAGAUCCUCAGCGCUGCGCCCCUUUUUUAGGAUAUGUAGAUCUUGAACAUGCUAUUACUUUGUCCGAACUGCAUUCAGUUUGUACAUUACAUACGGUGUGCUUUUCAUCCUUUAUGGCAAGAGUAGUUAAGUUAGCAGGGGAUAAAAGGGUUGUAUUGAUGAUUUCUUAUCCUCAGGAUCUAUUUGUUAAAAUCUUUGCAAUUCUUUAAUCGUUAAGCUAUUUGUUUUCACUUUUCACCCUCUUCUUCUCAAUGAAAUUCUACUUUUAUUUUAAAAGUAAAGCAACAUAAGGUGGUCUUAAUAUAGUCUGAUUAGGAAAAUAAUUGUCGUGUAAUCAAUUAGCAAUAUAAAGUACUGUUGGGAUAAAUCAACUUUUGGUUCCUGUACUGGGAUCCGACUUACAAGUUGAUAUCCCAAUUGAAAAAAGUAACAAAUUGGUGCUUGUACUAGAAAAAAUUUAUAAGUCGGUGAUUGUACUUGAAUAUUUAUGUAAAAUCGUUAAAUUUGACUAACGGACAUAACGGAAAAUUCUUAGUAGGCUAACAGAAUGACAUAACGGACAUAAUGACAUUUGUAUCUGGGACCUAUCAGAGAUCGAAAAUGGAGGGUAAUCUUCCUCUCAGUUACUACACGUGACUCACGUGAGGAUGAAGGAGACAACAACUAUUUCCCUUAUUCAAGUACAAUCACCAACUUCUAAAUUUUUUCUAGUACAAGCACCAAUUUGUUGCUUUUUCCAGUUAGAGUACCAACUUGUGAGUCGGGUCCCAGUACAGGCACCAAAAGUUGAUUUAUCCCAAGUACAGUUAUUAUUAUAUAAUAAUUAGGAAGCUAUGGUGAAAUAAAAUCCUUGACAUGCAACUGGGGUUUAAAAUAGAAUGCCUUGAGUACAUCGUCUUCUCUCUAUUCUUGUGGAAAUUACUAGCAGCCUCUGCCUCUGAUGAUGAGGUUUAGAGUUGUUUCUUAAAUUGAAAGGGAAUGCGUGGAACUUGACCUUUACUAGUAGUUCAAAUACUAGCCUGUUGUCUGAUUCCUUUUGUCAUUAUUUUGUUCACCUCUGACAAUUUCUUCACUAGAUUCAUGUAUGGUUAUAGCCUUGUGACUGUGAUUUUCCUCAUCCUUGUUACAUGCAUUUAUCAUUUGCUCGGUAGCUGCUUUUUGCUCUAUAGAUGGGGGCAGGGACUUGUAGUCUUUGCUUUUACCCCAUACAACAAGAUAAAGGCCUGCAAUUAUGACAAUGGCUCCAAUUACCCUGUAAGAAAGUGAUAUUAGCUAGUUUAUUUUUUGUGUACGGCUAUGAUUCGGGAGAGAGUUUGAGAAUCACCUUCCCAGGUACAUUUGUUCGGCCAAGAUGAUGGAGCUCAUGAUAGCUACGAUGAUCAUGCUCAGUGGAUUAAAAGCUGUCACAAAAACAGGUCCCCUGUCUUUCAUUAUUAUUCCUUGGAUGUAAUAUGCAAGUCCUGAACAGAAUAUGCCCUGCAUAAAUACAUUGUAAGAUGAAUGGUUUAUAGGUGGAUAAAUGCCAAAAACACAUCUUUGUCCUACUUUGAGAAUGAAUCCUUGUACGAUAUGGAAUUACAUUCUUCUAUACUGUGUCAUUUCAUUUUCUAAAAAUUAAGUUCUUGGCCCUGUUAGUAGAGAUAUAUAUUGAUCAUAGAUUUUCUGAAAUUUUAUUUGAUCACAAUGACCCUGUAAAAGGCAGAUGGGUUGCUAAGACUUAAUAGAUGGUUAAAUAUUCUUAUCAGCCAUAAUUAUACGAUUAUACCUUUUGAUGCAUAUGGUUCAGCAAGUGGUUUUUUGGAAACAUAUAACGAUGGACUACGCUGGUCAGAUUAGUUUUCUUACACUGUAGAGAGCUGCCAGGAAUUUGGUGUCCCAUUUCAGGGACCAGACGGCAACAUUUCCCCUCUCCAUUACAAGAGCCACUAUGGCUCCCUCAGCUGUGCCCAACAAACAUAUCCAAGCAGUGAGAGAGAGCUCAGCAGGAUAUGUCUUUAGCGUGAUUGCCUAGGAAAAUAACAAAGAUUAUGAAUUUGCAGGGCAAGAUUAGUAAUCCAUUUCACAAGUCCAUAUACUUUCAUACUUGCAGAACCAUGAAACAAGCCCAACUGAAGCAUCCAGCUGUGAUCAUAAGAGAACCCUUGACUGAAUGUUGAAUAUCUAUCGCACUCCUUUCGAGUUCAUGAGUGCUUCUUCCUUUCGUCCAAACCAGAUCUAGAACUGGGCCUUUGACCAGUGUCAUGAGCAUGGCUCCUCCAACGGUAGUAAGAGUGCCAACUACCUUAGCUUGGCUGCGGAUACUCUUGAAUUUAACCUUCUCAAGCCUAAGACAAAAAAAUUAUAGAGUUGUUUAAACACGUCAUAUCAGACAUGUUUCAGGGGAUACCAUAAAUAGAUUUGUGCUCAAUAAUACUUAUAUGUAGGUGUGAGUUUGUGCUUUUUUGGUUGUAAUGCUUCUUAUAGGGUAGCAUCUUUUUAUAUGGUGUCUUUUGGACACAAAGUAGGUAGAAUGCAUGCACAUGAUUCACCUGAAGAUGCAUGCCAUUAAAAAUGUUAUGGCGGGUAAAACGUUACACAUAGCGGCUGCGAAUGUUGCUGUUGUGUUUUUCAUCCCCAUAAUAUACAUAUUCUGGUCAAUAACUGGUCUGCAGAUGAAGAGACAAAUAUGUUGUUACAUGAUCAUUUCAUAAGAUAUGGAAAAAACAAAUUUAGUGAUUAACUUACUCUAGUAGGCCAAGCAGCAUAAAUUUUACGAACAAUGAUUUAGUCAUCUUAGGCCUUACUUUCCUGUUAAAAAAAAAAUUCAGCUGUUGGCUUCUUGAUUAAAAUAAAUGAUGACACACCUCAACAGAAAGAGGGAAAGGGAAGAGAGAGAGAGAGAGAGAGAGAGAGAGAGAGACUUGUCCAGAAUGAUCGCAAAAGGGGCAAUAACGAUAGUGGCAACGGCAUGGCGGUAAACAACAAAUACAUAAUUGCUCAUCCCUUCAUUCAGUGCUGCUUUAGAAAGAAUAUCCAUUCCUGCAAGCCCAAACUGCAAGAAAAUAACAGCAAGGAAGGGCUUUGCCCUGAUAAACAGUUCACUUGUGGUCAUGCUUCGUGGUUCAACUUGCUGAGAACUUCAGGUAUGGCUCGUUAGACUUCUUAAAUGGUAGCUACAUCUAUAUAUAAUGGAUGGAACAUUAUUUUAAAUGCCUUUUAUUUUUUACCUUUCUCAGUCUGCCACGUAGGAAUGAAGGGUUCCGCUAAUAAUAUGCAUGGACAUACUAAUUACUGAAGAAUCUUGCACGGUGAACAACAUCCUGAUAACUUGGACUAUUGAUGACUCCACCUCAGACAACACUAAAAAAACAUUAGUAAUUUAUGCAGCCUGAUUGUUUGCUAAAGUGCAAGGAUCACUGUUGUGAUGGAGUUGUUUUUGCAAUGAUCUACAAAAAUUCCUUCAGCAACAUGUCUUGUUGGUUUACCAUGUCUAGUUUUAACUUAUCAAUGGUAUUGGAUGUGGCAUAAUGAUGUUUUUAUAUUUAGCUUUACCUUUAAAUUGGAACUCCUCGUAAGGAUUGAAGUCCACAAUAAAUUGCAUGAAUACAUUUCUUCUAUAGUACCUAACUUAGUCAUGUUUUGCAGGGUGGAUUAUUAUGGUGUAUCGAUUAGCUUACAUCAGAAACUGCUGCCUUUUCUGUUGCAGACAUGAAGAAUGGUCUACAAUUGUGACGUACCAAUAAUCGUAGUAAGUUUUUGGUAAUGAGUUGGUGUAAAUUAAAGACAACGAUGAAAAGGUUUUGUGUAGUGCGAUAAUUAAAUAGUAACAACACUGCUAAGCAGAAAAAUGGGCUCACCCCUGCUUUGGAUUUGUUACUUGAUUCCUACAUAGUAGUCAAGGCACUUAAUCCCACUACUUAGUACUUUGUUAUCUUGUGCUUUAUGCAUUGGCAAUGCACCAAACACUCCCAUCUCCAAAUUGAGAACACUUUUUUUUAGUCAUUUGGAGUCCGACUAUCUGGCUUCUUGUGUGCAUCUGUUAUACAUAAGUUUAUGUGCAUCUAUUAUGCAUGUUUUGUGUGCAUCUGUUAUACACAAGUGUUGUGUGCAUUGUAGUAGGCAAACAUUUGUAAAAUUAAUGCGUAGAGUAGUACUCCCUCCGUUUUAAAAUAUAAGAUCAUUAUUGACUUUUGAAAGUCAACUUAUGACAUUUUCAAACUCAAAAUUGAGAUGAUUCAUUAAAAAUUAAGGGACAAUAUAUCUUAAAAUGAGGAUUAUUUUUUUAGAUAAUUUACAAAUUUUAUCAUUCUACUGAUUAAAAUUAAAUGAAUCGUCUCACUUUUGUGUUUUUAAUUAAUUUUUAAAAGUCAAUAAUGAUCAUACAAUUUGGAACAGAGGUAGUAUAUGUUAUGGCCUUUGAUAUCACCUACUUUGUGCUACACAAAUACGUGUUUGUGGGUACGUAAAACUCGGGGAAAUUACCCACGUAACUCGAAGGGAUUGAUUGGUUAAAAUGAUUGUUUUUUUUCCCAAUAGUGAAAGGAAAACAUGGAACAUGUGAAAGGUUGUUAGACGGAGAAGUAGUCCAUAUGGCAUGGUGUAUAUAUGCAAUAAUGCAGUGCUUUCUGUUGUGUGGAAUUGCAUGGGUUUGUCUACAUUUUCAACUUUCUGUUUGUGCGCUUGUCUGGAAAAUAAAGCAGCCACAAUGAAGAAACCGCCCAUACUUGAAAAAGGGUUUGAUUCCUUGGUGCAGAACACUAGAAUUGUUUCUUGACUACUCUUUAUUUAUUUAUUUAGUGCAUCGAUCUUUUUGCAUGGUGGAUGUUGUCGUCAGUAUGGUGUUGCAUUAUUGGGAAACCCUUUGUACGGACGGAGCUACUGGAUUUAGUUUCUUAUAAUAUGGAAACUUAGGAUACCUACGUAGUUUCGCUGAUAUGCUCUAGAUAAGAAGAAGAUACAUGUAUAGCACAUCCAUAACUCUAUUUUUCUCUCUUAUUAAAAAAAAUAAAAAAAAUCUUCUCUAUUUUCUAUUUGCAUUAACCUGGUUUGGAGCUUUACCAACUCUACUAGCCCCACUUAUAGUUUGAUAAUAUGAAUCUUUAAACUUUCAAAAGAGAUUGGCUCUUUAAAAGUUUGAGAAUUAUUUAGUGGAGGGCUGACUGUGUAAUUGGAAUUUUAUUUUAUUUUAUUUUAUUUGCAACAGAAAGAGCACCCCCAUCAGUAAAAUAAGGAAAGUUAUCUUUUUAUUUUGGUUAUUUCAGCAACAGACAGACAGACAUCUUAAAAUUUUGGUGUCAGCUUCAACUACCUUAUGUUUAUUCUUUGCAGAUUCAUCCCCGAUAUCUGAAUGAGAAUAUGAAAAGGGCAUGGCAUGGAUUCUCAUAGACAAAUUGUAAUGGUUUGGCUGCGGAUCUAUCUAAAGUUGUAGUUGCUUCUUUUUAGUAACAGUAAGAAUUCAUUGCAUUGAAUAUAAUAAGAUAUAUUAGAAUUCUGAAAAUAAAAAAAUCAAUCAUACAUGGAAGGUGAACUUCUAAUGAAUCAAACUCUUCACUCAUUCUGUGUAGUGAUAACGACUAAUAAGGGCAAAAUGUUUUAGACAAGUUUUAUUUUCUUUUCCUUUCUAU
rnacentral:lncRNA from 1 species